UACGGGGGGGGCAAGCGUUGUUCGGAAUUACUGGGCGUAAAGGGCUCGUAGGCGGCCAACUAAGUCGGAUGUGAAAUCCCCAGGCUUAACCUGGGAACUGCAUCCGAUACUGGAUGGCUUGAAUCCGGGAGAGGGAUGCAGAAUUCCAGGUGUAGCGGUGAAAUGCGUAGAUAUUGGGAAGAACACCGGUGGCGAAGGCGGCGACCUGGUCCGAUACUGACGCUGAGGCGCGAAAGCGUGGGGAGCGAACAGG
rnacentral:rRNA from 1 species